rnacentral:rRNA from 1 species
GUCCUACGCUUCUUUUUCCCCCGGACUUGCUCCACCGGAAAAAGAAGAGUGGCGAACGGGUGAGUAACACGUGGGUAACCUGCCCAUCAGAAGGGGAUAACACUUGGAAACAGGUGCUAAUACCGUAUAACAAUCGAAACCGCAUGGUUUUGAUUUGAAAGGCGCUUUCGGGUGUCGCUGAUGGAUGGACCCGCGGUGCAUUAGCUAGUUGGUGAGGUAACGGCUCACCAAGGCCACGAUGCAUAGCCGACCUGAGAGGGUGAUCGGCCACAUUGGGACUGAGACACGGCCCAAACUCCUACGGGAGGCAGCAGUAGGGAAUCUUCGGCAAUGGACGAAAGUCUGACCGAGCAACGCCGCGUGAGUGAAGAAGGUUUUCGGAUCGUAAAACUCUGUUGUUAGAGAAGAACAAGGAUGAGAGUAACUGUUCAUCCCUUGACGGUAUCUAACCAGAAAGCCACGGCUAACUACGUGCCAGCAGCCGCGGUAAUACGUAGGUGGCAAGCGUUGUCCGGAUUUAUUGGGCGUAAAGCGAGCGCAGGCGGUUUCUUAAGUCUGAUGUGAAAGCCCCCGGCUCAACCGGGGAGGGUCAUUGGAAACUGGGAGACUUGAGUGCAGAAGAGGAGAGUGGAAUUCCAUGUGUAGCGGUGAAAUGCGUAGAUAUAUGGAGGAACACCAGUGG